GGUGUUUUGAGUGAAAAUUGAUUAACAGAAUAUAAAUUGCAAGAAAUUAAAGUGCUGAAAGUAAAUUGACAGAAACUUAAAUGGCAAGAAAAGUAAAUUGCUGAAACUUAAAGAGCAAGAAACUAAAAGAACUGAAUCUCAAAUUGCAAGAAAUUAAAAUUACAGAAUCUAAAUUGCAGUGAAACUUAAAUUGCAUGAAUUAUAAAGGGAAAUGGGUGCAGGGGAUCAAAUCAGCAAUAAACAAUUU